rnacentral:rRNA from 1 species
AGUGAACGCUGGCGGUAGGCCUAACACAUGCAAGUCGAACGGCAGCACAGUAAGAGCUUGCUCUUACGGGUGGCGAGUGGCGGACGGGUGAGGAAUACAUCGGAAUCUACUUUUUCGUGGGGGAUAACGUAGGGAAACUUACGCUAAUACCGCAUACGACCUACGGGUGAAAGCAGGGGAUCUUCGGACCUUGCGCGAUUGAAUGAGCCGAUGUCGGAUUAGCUAGUUGGCGGGGUAAAGGCCCACCAAGGCGACGAUCCGUAGCUGGCCUGAGAGGAUGAUCAGCCACACUGGAACUGAGACACGGUCCAGACUCCUACGGGAGGCAGCAGUGGGGAAUAUUGGACAAUGGGCGCAAGCCUGAUCCAGCCAUACCGCGUGGGUGAAGAAGGCCUUCGGGUUGUAGAGCCCUUUUGUUGGGAAAGAAAAGCAGCAGGUUAAUACCCCGCUGUUCUGACGGUACCCAAAGAAUAAGCACCGGCUAACUUCGUG